rnacentral:rRNA from 1 species
UACGCAGGGGGCUAGCGAUGUUCGGAAUCACUGGGCGUAAAGCGCACGUAGGCGGAUUUGUAAGUCAGGGGUGAAAUCCCGGGGCUCAACCUCGGAACUGCCUUUGAUACUGCAAGUCUCGAGUCCGGAAGAGGUGAGUGGAACUCCUAGUGUAGAGGUGAAAUUCGUAGAUAUUAGGAAGAACACCAGUGGCGAAGGCGGCUCACUGGUCCGGAUCUGACGCUGAGGUGAGAAAGCGUGGGGAGCAAACAGG